UACGUAGGCAGCGAGCGUUGUUCGGAAUUACUGGGCGUAAAGAGUGUGUAGGCGGUGCUCUAAGUUCGGUGUGAAAUCUCCUGGCUCAACUGGGAGGGUGCGCCGGAAACUGGAGUGCUUGAGCGUGGGAGAGGAAAGCGGAAUUCCUGGUGUAGCGGUGGAAAUGCGUAGAUAUCAGGAGGAACACCGGCGGUGUAGACGGCUUUCUGGACCGUAGCUGACGCUGAGACACGAAAGCGUGGGUAGCAAACAGG
rnacentral:rRNA from 1 species